rnacentral:rRNA from 1 species
GACGAACGCUGGCGGCGUGCUUAACACAUGCAAGUCGAACGGUAAGGCCCCUUCGGGGGUACACGAGUGGCGAACGGGUGAGUAACACGUGAGUAACCUGCCCUUGACAUCGGAAUAAGCCCGAGAAAUCGGGUCUAAUACCGAAUAAUCACCUCCGCGGACAUCUGCGAGGGUGCAAAGCUCCGGCGGUCAAGGAUGGACUCGCGGCCUAUCAGCUAGUUGGUGAGGUAACGGCUCACCAAGGCUUCGACGGGUAGCCGGCCUGAGAGGGCGACCGGCCACACUGGGACUGAGAUACGGCCCAG